rnacentral:tRNA from 1 species
GGUAGCAUAGCUCAGUGCUAGAGCAUCCGACUGUAAAUCGGAACGUCCCCAGAUCAAACCCGGGUGCUCCCU